GGUAUGGCUCAGUGGUAGAGCACUUGCCUAACAUGCAUGAGGCCCUGAGGUCAAUCCCCAGAACCA
rnacentral:tRNA from 1 species